rnacentral:lncRNA from 1 species
UUACAUAACAACUAUUUGUUAUGAUUUAAGCCUUGAGCAAGGCUUAGACCUUGCAGUGGUAAUAGACUUUGGCCCACACACUCAAGCCUUGGGCAAGGCUAAGGCAUCGUCAGGAUCACAAAUCUCGGAUACGCCCAAAUAAGCCUCACCCAAGGCUUACAUCUCAGUAAAAGGGAAAAACACAACCAACUUUUAAGUUUAACUGACAGCUAAGGCAACAAGAGGGAGCCAUGAUUGCACCUGACCAAGCCUUGACCAAGACUAAGGUAAUAUAUAAGUUCAUAGACCUCGCACAUAACCGAAAUAAGCCUUGCCCAAGGUUUGUGUCGCGCACAACGACCUACUUGAGAAAAAGGCAAGCUUUUUAAAUCUAAAAAAAGAUCCCAUUCUAGUUGAGAUUUGAGGACCAAAAAUUUGGGAAAAAUUAUUUUGGGAAGCUGAAGAUGAGUCAACAUCAUUGGGAAAGAUCUUAAUCAAAGAAAAAAAAACCCUAGCCUUCUUGGAUUAUAAAAAUCGAGGCUGCCAAGAAUAAAC